AUAUUUACCCAGAAAUUCCAUUUGGGUAUUUUCCAAACACAAUUUUACAAAUUGGGUCGCCGGCAUCUGAGGCGGAUGAAGUGGGUCGGAUAAUUCUGGGUUGAUUUGGUCUGACACUUUGAUGAACAAGAAGAACAAGAGGAAGAACAAGAGGAAGAACACGUUGAACAAGCACAAGAAACUGAGGAAGCAGCUUUGACGACAGAUUUGGAUGCUUUACUCGGAGGUGCGAGCAGUAAGCCGAGGAAUAAGAAAGCUUUUCAAGACCACAAAAACAACAAGAUCUACCACAAUAAAAAAAAAUUAAAAUAACAGAACUUUUGUUGAACUGAAGGCCUUUAUCCACUUUCCAUUCUACAUUCUUAUUACACUGCAAGCAGGAAAUAUCUUAUUAGAUUAUUUAUCAGUAAAUGGUUCGGUUUAAAUGGAUGCUUCAUUAUUUUCUUGCU